GAUGAACGCUGGCGGCGUGCUUAACACAUGCAAGUCGAGCGAGAAUUUUAAUCGGAAGCUUCGGCCGAAGAUUGAAAAGGAAAGCGGCGGACGGGUGAGUAACGCGUGGGUAACCUGCCUUAUACUGGGGGAUAACAGUUGGAAACGGCUGCUAAAACCGCAUAAGCAUACAUUGUCGCAUGACAGAGUGUGAAAAUAUUUAUAGGGUAUGAGAUGGGGCCCGCGUCUGAUUAGCUAGUUGGUAAGGUAACGGCUUACCAAGGCGACGAUCAGUAGCCGGCUUGAGAGAGUGACCGGCCACAUUGGGACUGAGACACGGCCCAAACUCCUACGGGAGGCAG
rnacentral:rRNA from 1 species